AGCGUAGGCGGGUUGUUAAGUCAGUUGUGAAAGUUUGCGGCUCAACCGUAAAAUUGCAGUUGAUACUGGCGACCUUGAGUGCAACAGAGGUAGGCGGAAUUCGUGGUGUAGCGGUGAAAUGCUUAGAUAUCACGAAGAACUCCGAUUGCGAAGGCAGCUUACUGGAUUGUAACUGACGCUGGUGCUCGAAAGUGUGGGUAUCAAAC
rnacentral:rRNA from 1 species